rnacentral:rRNA from 1 species
CAGCAGCCACGGUAAUACGUAGGGUGCAAGCGUUAUCCGGAAUUAUUGGGCGUAAAGAGCUCGUAGGCGGUUUGUCGCGUCUGCUGUGAAAACUGGAGGCUCAACCUCCAGCCUGCAGUGGGUACGGGCAAACUAGAGUGCGGUAGGGGAGAUUGGAAUUCCUGGUGUAGCGGUGGAAUGCGCAGAUAUCAGGAGGAACACCGAUGGCGAAGGCAGAUCUCUGGGCCGUAACUGACGCUGAGGAGCGAAAGCAUGGGGAGCGAACAGGAUUAGAUACCCCCGUAGUCCCUGUCUCUUAUAC